CGNGACGCUGGCGGCGUGCCUAAUCAUGCAAGUCGAGCGAAUGAAAGAGAAGCUUGCUUCUCUGGAUUUAGCGGCGGACGGGUGAGUAACACGUGGGCAACCUACCUUAUAGAUGGGGAUAACUCCGGGAAACCGGGGCUAAUACCGAAUAACUCCAAGCACCUCCUGGUGCUUGGCUGAAAGACGGUUUCGGCUGUCACUAUAAGAUGGGCCCGCGGCGCAUUAGCUAGUUGGUAAGGUAACGGCUUACCAAGGCAACGAUGCGUAGCCGACCUGAGAGGGUGAUCGGCCACACUGGGACUGAGACACGGCCCAGACUCCUACGGGAGGCAGCAGUAGGGAAUCUUCCACAAUGGACGAAAGUCUGAUGGAGCAACGCCGCGUGAGUGAAGAAGGUUUUCGGAUCGUAAAACUCUGUUGUAAGGGAAGAACAAGUACAGUAGUAACUGGCUGUACCUUGACGGUACCUUAUUAGAAAGCCACGGCUAACUACGUGCCAGCAGCCGCGGUAAUACGUAGGUGGCAAGCGUUGUCCGGAAUUAUUGGGCGUAAAGCGCGCGCAGGCGGUCCUUUAAGUCUGAUGUGAAAGCCCACGGCUCAACCGUGGAAGGUCAUUGGAAACUGGGGGACUUGAGUGCANAAGAGGUUAGUGGAAUUCCAAGUGUAGCGGUGAAAUGCGUANAGAUUUGGAGGAACACCAGUGGCGAAGGCGACUAACUGGUCUGUAACUGACGCUGAGGCGCGAAAGCGUGGGGAGCAAACAGGAUUANAUACCCUGGUAGUCCNCNCCGUAACNAUGANUGCUAANUGUUAGGGGGUUCCNCCCCUUA
rnacentral:rRNA from 1 species